GACGAACGCUGGCGGCGUGCUUAACACAUGCAAGUCGAACGGUAAGGCUCCAGCUUGCUGGGGUACACGAGUGGCGAACGGGUGAGUAACACGUGGGUGACCUGCCCUGCACUUCGGGAUAAGCCUGGGAAACUGGGUCUAAUACCGGAUAGGACCGCACCGUGAGGGUGUGGUGGAAAGUUUUUUCGGUGUGGGAUGGGCCCGCGGCCUAUCAGCUUGUUGGUGGGGUAAUGGCCUACCAAGGCGGCGACGGGUAGCCGGCCUGAGAGGGUGGACGGCCACAUUGGGACUGAGACACGGCCCAGACUCCUACGGGAGGCAGCAGUGGGGAAUAUUGCACAAUGGGCGGAAGCCUGAUGCAGCGACGCCGCGUGGGGGAUGACGGCCUUCGGGUUGUAAACUCCUUUCACCAUCGACGAAGGGUUUCUGACGGUAGAUGGAGAAGAAGCACCGGCUAGCUACGUG
rnacentral:rRNA from 1 species